rfam:Zea mays cultivar B73 chromosome 2, whole genome shotgun sequence.
GGUUAGCAGGAGUGAUGAACCAAUUAGAUGUGCGAAGCUAUCUUAUGGGCUUAACUUUUGAGGCAUACAUUCUGUCUGACCUGCCAGUC